AUGGCCACCGUGAUGUUGUCCUGUGACGCUGCUCCAAAAGAAUCAUGCCAUGGGCUUGAAGAUGGAUGCGACGAACCGAAGUGCAAGGAAUAUUGUGUGCUCACUUGUUACACCAAGGGAUCUCAUUGUAGGGCUGAAGAUUGUUGUUGUUUGAUUGCUGCCAAGCCCAUGGUGGACGUGCUCCGUCGUCAUGAUUGA
rnacentral:rRNA from 1 species